UGGCUCAGUGGAAAGAGCAUGACCUUGAGAGUCAGAGGUUGUGGGUUCUAAUCCCAU
rnacentral:tRNA from 1 species